rnacentral:rRNA from 1 species
AAGACGUAGGGAGCGAGCGUUGUCCGGAUUCAUUGGGCGUAAAGAGCGCGUAGGCGGCCGUGCAAGUCGGUUGUGAAAUCCCGGGGCUCAACCCCGGGACUGCGUCCGAUACUGUGCGGCUCGAGGCAGGUAGGGGAGAGUGGAAUUCCCGGUGUAGCGGUGAAAUGCGCAGAUAUCGGGAGGAACACCGGUGGCGAAGGCGGCUCUCUGGACCUGUCCUGACGCUGAGGCGCGAAAGCUAGGGGAGCGAACAGGA